GACAAACAUCACCUCGUUUCUCUGCUCUCAGGUGUGGAGGGAACAACUCCACCCAUCAGUCUGAGACGCAGAGAAACAGGAGUUUUCUGAAUUGGAAGGGAAAGAGGAACUUCUCCAGAGGAUUAUUUGAUGUUUCAGCUGCUGUUGCUGGACAGUCAGGUGUUUACCUUCCUGGUGUCGACGUCGUUCUCGUCUUCAUCAACAUCCGUCUCCUUCGUUUGGUCCGAACUCUGAUCACCGACACCGACCAGCGUCCUGAGAAGAGAAAUAAACACGUCAAUAAUCUCAAUUUUGUUUGGUCUGUGGCGUGGAGUCGAACUACGAACCAGUUGCUGAGUCAGCGCCUCCACCCUCAGCUCUUCGGGUGACUUCUCCCUCCUGGGAAGCGG